GCCUGUGAGUCCUGAUGCUGUUUCCUGUGAUAGACGUCCAGAGCAUGCACCAGUGAGUCCUGCUCUGAGCUGGGCUGCCCCUCUGAGGCUCCUUCGGGGGCUGAUGCUCAGAGCUCGACUUCUUUGCCUGGAAACAAAGAACUUCCCACAGAUUGCAUCCCUUCACUCUGAAAACAACUGCUUUUAUCUCAAUCAUCUUGCUGCAUCAGCACUUAUCCUCUGGCUUUGGGGCUGAUAUCAUCGUGCUGGAACCAGGCUUUGCGGCGACAUGCUUCUCCCUCCCUCUGGCAUCCAGCUUG